GAUGAAGAACGUAGUGAAAUGCGAUAAGUAGUGUGAAUUGCAGAAUUCAGUGAAUCAUCGAAUAUUUGAACGCACAUUGCGCCCUUUGGUAUUCCAAAGGGCAUGCCUGUUCGAGCGUCAUUUGUACCCUCAAGCUUUGCUUGGUGUUGGGCGUCUUGUCUCUAGCUUUGCUGGAGACUCGCCUUAAAGUAAUUGGCAGCCGGCCUACUGGUUUCGGAGCGCAGCACAAGUCGCACUCUCUAUCAGCAAAGGUCUAGCAUCCAUUAAGCCUUUUUUUCAACUUUUGACCUCGGAUCAGGUAGGGAUACCCGCUGAACUUAAGCAUAUCAAUAAGCGGAGGA
rnacentral:misc_RNA from 1 species